AGUUUACUGUUCUGACCUCCCAAUCAUCAUCUGCAAGCCAAAGAAGAUUUUUUCUCCUUAUUACUUUCCAGUUAUCUUGUUUGCCCUUCCAAUCAACUGCAAUCCGCAGAUUAGGACUCCUCAUUAUUUGGUUUUGCGGAAAAGAAACUUGAUCCACAAUGAAUCCACAACAAAGAAUAUGAAAACCAUCUUGAUCCUACAUAACAUAAUCUGAUGCGGUGAUAUUAUUCUUAUUAAUCUUUAUUAUAGAAACAUAUACAAUAUAUUUUUUUCAAGAUUUAUUUAUAAAUCUAUUACCAGUUAUAAUAUGUUAACCUGUUCAAAG